GAUGAACGCUGACAGAAUGCUUAACACAUGCAAGUCAACUGUGGCGGACGGGUGAGUAACGCGCAAAGAACUUGCCUCACAGUUAGGGACAACAUUGGGAAACGAAUGCUAAUACAUGAUACUGUGAGAGAGCCUUGCGUCCCAUUAGCUAGUUGGAGAGGUAACGGCUCACCAAGGCGAUGAUGGGUAUCCGGCCUGAGAGGGUGAUCGGCCACAAGGGGACUGUGACACGGCCCUUACUCCUCCGGGAGGCAGCAGUGGGUAAUAUUGGACAAUGGACCAAAGUCUGAUCCAGCAAUUCUGUGUGCACGAUUAAGUUUUCGGAAUGGAAAGUGCUUUCAGUUGGGAAGCGGUACCUAAAGAAUAAGCGCCGGCUAACUUCGUGCCAGCAGCCGCGGUAAUAC
rnacentral:rRNA from 1 species